rnacentral:rRNA from 1 species
UACGAAGGGAGCUAGCGUUGUUCGGAAUCACUGGGCGUAAAGCGCACGUAGGCGGAUGUGUCAGUCAGGGGUGAAAUCCCGGAGCUCAACUUCGGAACUGCCUUUGAUACAGCACGUCUUGAGUCCGAUAGAGGUGGGUGGAAUUCCUAGUGUAGAGGUGAAAUGCGCAGAUAUCAGGAGGAACACCAAUGGCGAAGGCAGCUCGCUGGGACGGUACUGACGCUGAGACGCGAAAGCGUGGGGAGCAAACAGG